rnacentral:rRNA from 1 species
UCUUUUAUCAAGGAAGAAGAUCCUGACGGUACUUGAUGAAUAAGCCACGGCUAAUUCCGUGCCAGCAGCGCGGUAAUACGGGAGUGGCAAGCGUUAUCCGGAAUUAUUGGGCGUAAAGCGUCCGCAGGCGGUCUGUCAAGUCUGCUGUUAAAGCGUGGAGCUUAACUCCAUUUCGGCAGUGGAAACUGACAGACUAGAGUGUGGUAGGGGCAGAGGGAAUUCCCGGUGUAGCGGUGAAAUGCGUAGAUAUCGGGAAGAACACCAGUGGCGAAGGCGCUCUGCUGGGCCAUAACUGACGCUCAUGGACGAAAGCCAGGGGAGCGAAAGGGAUUAGAUACCCCUGUAGUCCUGGCCGUAAACGAUGAACACUAGGUGUCGAGGGAAUCGACCCCCUCGGUGUCGUAGCCAACGCGUUAAGUGUUCCGCCUGGGGAGUACGCACGCAAGUGUGAAACUCAAAGGAAUUGACGGGGGCCCGCACAAGCGGUGGAGUAUGUGGUUUAAUUCGAUGCAACGCGAAGAACCUUACCAGGGUUUGACAUCCUGCGAAUCUCUUGGAAACGAGAGAGUGCCUUCGGGAACGCAGUGACAGGUGGUGCAUGGCUGUCGUCAGCUCGUGUCGUGAGAUGUUGGGUUAAGUCCCGCAACGAGCGCAACCCACGUCGUUAGUUGCCAGCAUUUAGUUGGGCACUCUAGCGAGACCGCCGGUGAUAAACCGGAGGAAGGUGUGGAUGACGUCAAGUCAUCAUGCCCCUUACAUCCUGGGCUACGCACGUACUACAAUGCUACGGACAAAGGGCAGCAAACUCGCGAGAGCUAGCAAAUCCCAUAAACCGUGGUUCAGUUCAGAUCGUAGGCUGCAACUCGCCUACGUGAAGGAGGAAUCGCUAGUAAUCGCAGGUCAGCAUACUGCGGUGAAUACGUUCCCGGGCCUUGUACACACCGCCCGUCACACCAUGGAAGUUGGCCACGCCCGAAGCCGUUACUCCAACCCUUGUGGAGGAGGACGUCGAAGGGGGGGCUGAUGACUGGGGUGAAGUCGUAACAAGGUAGCCGUACCGGAAGGUGCGGCUGGAUCACCUC